rnacentral:rRNA from 1 species
ACGGGUAGCUUGCACCUGGUGGCGAGUGGCGAACGGGUGAGUAAUACAUCGGAACAUGUCCUGUAGUGGGGGAUAGCCCGGCGAAAGCCGGAUUAAUACCGCAUACGAUCUACGGAUGAAAGCGGGGGACCUUCGGGCCUCGCGCUAUAGGGUUGGCCGAUGGCUGAUUAGCUAGUUGGUGGGGUAAAGGCCUACCAAGGCGACGAUCAGUAGCUGGUCUGAGAGGACGACCAGCCACACUGGGACUGAGACACGGCCCAGACUCCUACGGGAGGCAGCAGUGGGGAAUUUUGGACAAUGGGCGAAAGCCUGAUCCAGCAAUGCCGCGUGUGUGAAGAAGGCCUUCGGGUUGUAAAGCACUUUUGUCCGGAAAGAAAUCCUUGGCUCUAAUACAGCCGGGGGAUGACGGUACCGGAAGAAUAAGCACCGGCUAACUACGUGCCAGCAGCCGCGGUAAUACGUAGGGUGCGAGCGUUAAUCGGAAUUACUGGGCGUAAAGCGUGCGCAGGCGGUUUGCUAAGACCGAUGUGAAAUCCCCGGGCUCAACCUGGGAACUGCAUUGGUGACUGGCAGGCUAGAGUAUGGCAGAGGGGGGUAGAAUUCCACGUGUAGCAGUGAAAUGCGUAGAGAUGUGGAGGAAUACCGAUGGCGAAGGCAGCCCCCUGGGCCAAUACUGACGCUCAUGCACGAAAGCGUGCGGAGCAAACAGGAUUAGAUACCCUGGUAGUCCACGCCCUAAACGAUGUCAACUAGUUGUUGGGGAUUCAUUUCCUUAGUAACGUANCUAACGCGUGAAGUUG